CCUUGUGAUGAUCAAUACAAAUGACUUUCGUUCUUCUGAACAUAAUGAAGUCAUAUUUAUGAUCUGAAAAGG
ensembl:snoRNA SNORD59A small nucleolar RNA, C/D box 59A